CAAUAGCGUAUAUUUAAGUUGCUGCAGUUAAAAAGCUCGUAGUUGGAUUUCGGGUGGGAAUGGCCGGUCCGCCGUUUCGGUGUGCACUUGCUACGCCCACCUUGCUGCCGGGGACGUGCUCUUGAGUUCACGCUCGGGACACGGAGUCGGCGAGGUUACUUUGAGUAAAUUAGAGUGUUCAAAGCAGGCCUACGCUCUGAAUACAUUAGCAUGGAAUAACACGAUAGGACUCUGGCCUAUCUUGUUGGUCUGUAGGACCGGAGUAAUGAUUAAGAGGGACAGUCGGGGGCAUUCGUAUUUCAUUGUCAGAGGUGAAAUUCUUGGAUUUUAGGAAGACUAACAACGGCGAAAGCAUUUGCCAAGGAUGUUUUCAUUGA
rnacentral:rRNA from 1 species